AAUUCUUCUCUUUGUGUGCUUCGGAUGUGUUUUAUUGUUGAACGCUUCGCUUGCUUUUGUAGUUCAACACAUAGUUAAUUAGGUUGUAGGAGAGUUAUGUUGGUAAUAGGCAUUAAAUGGAUUCGCCAUGGUUAACCAGUUUGCUUGUGUUUUAACUGUUGCAGACUUGCAGUGACUUAACCAAUUCAAACUACAUCGACGAGAUUACCAGUUC
rnacentral:lncRNA from 1 species